rnacentral:rRNA from 1 species
GCAUGUAGGUCAAAAUACCCUAAAGGCACCAGAUCCUGUCUGAUCUUGGAAACUAAGCAGGGUUGGCCUUAACUACUACUUGGAUGGGAGACCUCAAACAAAUACCAGGUGCUGUGAGCU